UCUCUUGCCCUGCGCUCCCGGCUCAAGAGCGCCAUGCGCCCAGCAAGUCUCCCUCACUCCUGGGACCGGCUCACCGAGUUUUAAGACCUACGGAGCUGGGUCGACACAAAAUCCCGCAGCGCCACAACUUGGAGACACGGUGACAGAGAUGUGGCCAUACCGACCAUUUAAAGCGAUUCCAACUCCGGCGAAGCCUGGCUGGAAAGACGCGGCUUCCAUCCCGGCAGCCUGGAGGAGGAUCGAGCAGGGGCUGUGCCUGGGCUUGCCUGGACUUGUUCAGAGAAGGGCUGCUCCCCUCGGUAACUGCACAGAUUGGGGGCUUUGGGAGACGUUGCCAGAACCUGGAAGCCACGGCCGGGGGCUACUGGGGCCCGGGGUCUGCGCACCUGCUCGCCGUGGAGCCCAGGAGUGUGUCCAGACAAUUAACCACUGAUGGACGAAAGCAAGAGAAAUGCAUUUUCUUGCAGUUCUGGAAGCCAACGUCUGCAACACAGCAGACUCCACCCAUCUGUAGUCUCUGUGAAGGGAUCUUGCCUCAGCUUCCGAAGACUGCCUGGGUUCGUAGACGCAUCCCUCCUAGCGUAUGCUGUGUGCCUGCCUUACAUCUGUCUCCAUCUGCCUGUCCGCCAGGAUGCUUGUUACUGCGUAGGCUCCGCUGGUCUUUUAAGAUUCACCUGCACAGGCCCUGGGAUUUUUGGGGGUGAUUCUUUGUGUUGUUGUUGCUAGUGGGUUUAUCUACCUUUUAGUUUAUAUAUAUAUGGGUGUUUUACCUGUAGGUAUGGCUGUGUACCACGUGUGUGAAGUCCCCAUGGAAGCCAGAAGAGGGUGUCAUAUCUCCCAGGACUAAAGUUACAGAUGGUUGUGAGCUGCCAUGUGUGUGGGUGCUGGGAAUCAAACCCAGGCCCUCUGCUCUUGCAGCCUCGGGCUUAACUGUGCUCCAUCUCUUUAGCCUCCUAUACUAUAUCAUCUGGAUAUGACAUUUUUAUACCCAUACCAUUGCACUUCUUGAUUUAUCAUUGGUGUUAGGAGGAAUAAAAACCCCUUCCUAAUGACCGA
rnacentral:lncRNA from 1 species